GCCCAGUGAUGAUACCAAGGCGAAUGUGAGCUCUCUGAAUAGGAGUCCGGGCUCUCCUGUGCUCCUAUUGGCCGGUAAUCUUGGCAGGGCAGUGGAGAUUUGCUGCUCUGCUGUAAGGGCCCGCCUACAUUCACUAAGCCCCUCCCCUCACGCUUUCCUCAAGAAAUUCGGUUGGUUGAGACAGAGGUGCUUACACUGUGUGUGUGUGUGUGUGUGCGUGUGUGUGUGUGGACGGACGCAGAGGAGAUUCUCAGGUCUCUGUAGUAUUCAGUGAGCAGUGAACUGUUUCUUUGGUAAUCUGAGGGCG